UACGAGUGCUCCAAGCGUUAUCCGGAAUCAUUGGGCGUAAAGGGUGUGUAGGCGGCUGUGUUAGUCUUCCGUUAAAUUCUUCGGCUUAACCGGGGGCAUGCGGAAGAAACGGCACAACUAGAGGAUGCGAGAGGUGAAUAGAACUCAUGGAGUAGGGGUGAAAUCCGUUGAUAUCAUGGGGAAUACCAAAAGCGAAGGCAAUUCACUGGCGCACUCCUGACGCUGAAACACGAAAGCGUAGGUAGCGAAUGGG
rnacentral:rRNA from 1 species